UGGGCCUUUGGAAAUCCCGUCUUCACUCUUCUUCACUGCUGGCCGUCAUUCACUCAUUUGCUUCUUCUUCACUGCUGCAGCCUGCAAUCAUCUUCUUCUUGAAACAGACUCCCAUCUUCUUCAAUCUUGCUGCCGUCAUCUUGCUUCUUCUUCACCAUUCACGUUGAGACGUCACCGUUCAUCACCGUUCUUCACCGUUCAUCACCGCUCAUCACCGUUCUUCUUCUUCUUCAGAUUGAUGCUUUAUUUUCCUUGUUGCACAUCGUCAUCAACAGGUUCCUGACCGGGAGUUUCUUUUGCGGAUGUCCUAUUUGGCGAUUUAUAUUGAAGAGAUAAAUGACCUGUUGGUUCCUGAACACAGAAGACUACAGAUUCAUGAAAUAACUUUGAUUUAUUUUUUACUGGUUUAAUGUUUGCAUUAAAUUUUAUAUUUGAGUAUAUUAGAUGACUUGAAGCUUGAAGGUAAAUAUUAUUUGGCAGUGGGGAAUAUAUGUAGCUGGUUUGCGUGACGAAAUUGUUGCCUCACUCGAUUAGGUCCUUAAUCUCAUGGAAUUCGGAGAAUAAUCUUUACCACAGCAGCCUCCGCUCUCUAUCUCUGGUUCUUAACCGCAAUCUAUAAUCGACCGAUCCUACGAUCCGAUCCUACCUGAUGAUUACGAUCCUGCGAAGAAUCCUAAUCCUGACAACCUUGGAACAAACACUUUGAAAACAAAGGAACGGUAUGUCACGCAUGGCUCGUAGCCCCACACAAGACAGAGGCACGAAACUUGGUGUCCGGGCGUCUUACAUCAAAAGAAGGUUAUAGAGACUUCCGGAAUCAUCAAGAAGCUUGUGGAGCAUGUGGGUCUAGAACAACCCACACUAGAAGGUUCCGGAGAACUCUAGAAGGUUCCAGAGAACUCUUGAAGGAGCCUUGUAAAUAUCUAAUGUUUAGAAUUCUCUAGGCAACUCUUGUACGUACUUUAGAGUACCUUAACACUUGUAAUUGUGUAGAAUUCUCUAAAAAGAUGUAAUCUAGAUCCCUCCAUUUGAGGAGGUUAGAAUGUUCUAGAAAUAGAACAAGUAGUAAGGGGUGUUGCCUAUAAAUACCUCAAGGCAUUCAUUUGUACACAACACUUGAGAGCUCACUUGUAAAGCUUUCCUUGUGCAAUACAUAAACCUCACUUACAUUUUUCAAUUCUUGUGUUCCUACUUACUUCACAUCUUCUCAAAGUCUUAGCUAAAUCCACACAAACACACCAACUACAUUGUUUAGCAAUACACCUUUGGGGGUUUGCUUGACUUGUCUUACGACGGGAGUGUAAGCAAGUGGCACACGUGAGACUAGGGAAAGAGUCGACACGUGACAGGUAGCUAUUUCAAGGCCUUGGCAAAGUCAAUUAAGCCAAGUUACCAUAAAGGAUUCAAAGCUUCAACUAGUAGAAUGAAGAGAAGAAAGACACACCAAUAAACAUUCUGAAUGCACAUGGCCAAAGUCUUUCAAGUCUCAAAAAAAUCCUCAUUCAAGAAUU